rnacentral:rRNA from 1 species
GACGAACGCUGGCGGCGUGCCUAAUACAUGCAAGUCGAGCGGAGUUAGACCUUCGGGUUUAAUUUAGCGGCGGACGGGUGAGUAACACGUAGGUAACCUGCCUAACAGACUGGGAUAACUACCGGAAACGGUAGCUAAGACCGGAUACGACCAUUUGGGGGCAUCCUUGAAUGGUGAAAAGCGGAGCAAUCUGCUACUGAUAGAUGGACCUGCGGCGCAUUAGCUAGUUGGUGAGGUAGAGGCUCACCAAGGCGACGAUGCGUAGCCGACCUGAGAGGGUGAACGGCCACACUGGGACUGAGACACGGCCCAG